rfam:Triticum aestivum genome assembly, contig: Triticum_aestivum_CS42_TGACv1_scaffold_405196_5BL
UGCAUACUCCCUCCGUCCGGAAAUACUUGUCAUGGAAAUGGAUGUAUCUAGACAUAUUUUAGUUCUAAAUACAUCCAAUUUUAUUUAUUUGCGUGACAAGUAUUUCCGGACGGAGGGAGUACAUA